AUUGAACGCUGGCGGCAUGCCUUACACAUGCAAGUCGAACGGCAGCACGGGAGCAAUCCUGGUGGCGAGUGGCGAACGGGUGAGUAAUAUAUCGGAACGUGCCCAGUCGUGGGGGAUAACGCAGCGAAAGCUGUGCUAAUACCGCAUACGAUCUAUGGAUGAAAGCGGGGGAUCGCAAGACCUCGCGCGAUUGGAGCGGCCGAUAUCUGAUUAGCUAGUUGGUGAGGUAAAGGCUCACCAAGGCGACGAUCUGUAGCUGGUCUGAGAGGACGACCAGCCACACUGGAACUGAGACACGGUCCAGACUCCUACGGGAGGCAGCAGUGGGGAAUUUUGGACAAUGGGCGCAAGCCUGAUCCAGCAAUGCCGCGUGCAGGAUGAAGGCCUUCGGGUUGUAAACUGCUUUUGUACGGAGCGAAACGGUCUUUCCUAAUACGAGAGGCUAAUGACGGUACCGUAAGAAUAAGCACCGGCUAACUACGUACCAGCAGCCGCCGUAA
rnacentral:rRNA from 1 species